UGAGCAACCUGCCCUUAGCUUUGGGAUAACCCUCGGAAACGGGGCUAAUACCGAAUGUUCACUGCCGGGCGCAUGUUUGGUGGUGGAAAGUUUUUCGGCUGGGGAUGGGCUCGCGGCCUAUCAGCUUGUUGGUGGGGUGAUGGCCUACCAAGGCGAUGACGGGUAGCCGGCCUGAGAGGGCGACCGGCCACACUGGGACUGAGACACGGCCCAGACUCCUACGGGAGGCA
rnacentral:rRNA from 1 species